rnacentral:tRNA from 1 species
GGGAAGGUUGCUCAGUGUUAGAGCACUUGCCUUGCAUGCAUGAGGCCCUGGGUUCAAUUCCUCAGCACCA